UACGUAGGGGGCAAGCGUUGUCCGGAAUAAUUGGGCGUAAAGCGCGCGUAGGCGGCCCCGUAAGUCCGCUGUGAAAGUCAAAGGCUCAACCUUUGAAAGCCGGUGGAUACUGUGGGGCUAGAGUCCGGAAGAGGCGAGUGGAAUUCCUGGUGUAGCGGUGGAAUGCGCAGAUAUCAGGAGGAACACCAAUAGCGAAGGCAGCUCGCUGGGACGGUACUGACGCUAAGGCGCGAAAGCGUGGGGAGCGAACAGG
rnacentral:rRNA from 1 species